rnacentral:lncRNA from 1 species
GGCAGCUGUCUGCUAUUUGUGUGACAGUGCACAUCUUUGCCAGUAAACUGCUUUUGCUCUGGGUUGUGCUGUGUCUGCUGUCUGCUGGGUUACUGGGAAAGCUGCCAGGGACAGAGCGACUGCUUGCACUGAGGUGGCUGGGUAGCACCUCUUGUAAUCCAUGUUUUGUGUGGUGUAUUGAUUGGGAUUGUGGAUAGGCCCUGGGGGAUGAACAUCAACACUGAGUUCCAGAGCCUGACAUUUUAAUCAGCAACAGGUUUAGCAGCUGGGAGCAACUGGGUAAUGCCUGCUUAGGAAAAGACAAUUGUACCAGAUGAAGCCAAAAACCGUAAGGUGAUUAUUGCUUUAGCAGCUAUACGUUAACUAAAUAUGGGACAUAACUGAGUAGCCUAUGGCAGAACUGAGACCAGUUUGAAGUGAAGCUGUAGGGUUGAAAAAUGACCAACCCAGAAACAACAGUGAAGGUUAUCCUAUAACAAGCUGCAUAGCACUGAGUAUUAGCUUUCCCGUGGUGAAACCAGGGAUCCCAGCACAGUUCUGUCCACACUGACAGUGGUUGUGAUAGGUGACUUUCUACCUGCAAAAUAGAACUUACAACUUCACUUACAAAUGUGAAUGACACUGAGUCUGCUCCAGAGGCAGACUUGAAAGAACAUUCAUCUGCCGUGGGUAAGAAGACAGAAAACUGCAGAAGUUAUUCCCAAAGUGCUGCCUGCCUUCUAAUUGCUGGCCAGCAGCUUUUGUGAAAAGAGGUAAGAGAAUCAUUUCAUGCAAAUGUGAGUGCUUGCAGAUUUCUCUUCUGGGGAAAAUGUUCUUUCCUCUCUCUUUUUCAGAUGUUUAAAAGGAGCAAAGCACCACAUCAGAACUGAGAGAAAGGAAAACCGGUCAAUGUCACCUUGGUGUCUGAUGAUGAAAGACAAGAGCAAAGCCAAACAAGGGAGCAGCAAAGUACACAGAAGAGAUAUCUUCAGCUGUUACCCAACAUUUCUGGAUGUGGGUGAGGAGUUAGGCAAGUCAAAACUGUUCCUGGGUGUUAGAUAAGGAGAAGUGUCCCAGCUCUAUUAAUAUCUUCUCUGGUCCCAUCAAUGGCUUUACUCUGAAAAACCCUUUCUGCUCCAGAUUUGAGACUCCA